GAUGAACGCUAGCGGCAGGCUUAAUACAUGCAAGUCGAGGGGCAGCAGGUUUGUAGCAAUACAAUUGUUGACGACCGGCAAACGGGUGCGGAACACGUACACAACCUUCCUACAAGUGGGGAAUAGCCCAGAGAAAUUUGGAUUAAUACCCCGUAACAUAGCGAUGUGGCAUCACAUUGCUAUUAUAGCUUCGGCGCUUGUUGAUGGGUGUGCGGCUGAUUAGAUAGUUGGCGGGGUAACGGCCCACCAAGUCUACGAUCAGUAGCUGAUGUGAGAGCAUGAUCAGCCACACGGGCACUGAGACACGGGCCCGACUCCUACGGGAGGCAGAAGUAAGGAAUAUUGGACAAUGGACGCAAGUCUGAUCCAGCCAUGCCGCGUGAAGGAUUAAGGUCCUCUGGAUUGUAAACUUCUUUUAUAAGGGACGAAAAAAGGUCUUUCUAGAUCGUCUGACGGUACCUUAUGAAUAAGCACCGGCUAACUUCGUGCCAGCCGCCGCCGUAACAC
rnacentral:rRNA from 1 species